rnacentral:precursor_RNA from 1 species
GAGGACCGUAUUCAUGGAAGAGGAUUGAACAGACUACUGAGUUCUUAAGAGAAAAAUGGCACUUAAGAAAUUGAUGGUGAUAUCAAAGGAAGGUUACUUAUUACUCUUGGACUUUGAUGAUGAGGACGAUGACAUAAAAGUUUCAGAGGAGGCUCUUGCGGAAGUAAAGAGCCCAGGAUUUGAUAAAAAUGAGAAUAUAUCGCCUCAAGCAGAAGCAGAUGAAUAUAUGGGAGAUGAAGUAGACAGUAUGUUGGAUAAAUCUGGAGUAAAGAACCCAGCAAUUGGUAAAGAUGAGAAUAUAUCGCCUCAAGUAAAAGGAGAUGAAGACAUGGGAGAUGAAAUUGACAGUAUGUUGGCUACAUCUGGAGGUCUUUUCUCCUGAGAACACGGGACUCCAGCAUCUUCGGAUUCUGCUCUUGGAGGUGUGAGUCCCUGCCUCUCUGCACAGGGGAACUUAUGUCUCUCCACAUGUCCGCAAAUGUCUACCCAAGAUUAUACAUCUUCCAAAGGCUUUCAAAUACUUCUUUACAUAAACAAGAUGUGUGCAGCUGAACAGAGCGUUGAGGAAACGUCAGUGAUUUUAUAACUACUUAUCAUGUUGGGAGAUUGUUGUGAUGAUUGCCUGGACUCUCAGAUGUUACACAGGCUGCAUCAUUGGACUGAAAGUGAAUGGCCCAUGUGUUGCCACUGAUGUGAGCCAUUUGCCUGUUGUGCUUCA